GAUGAACGCUGGCGGCGUGCUUAACACAUGCAAGUCGAACGGAAAGGCCAGUGCUUGCACUGGUACUCGAGUGGCGAACGGGUGAGUAACACGUGGGUGAUCUGCCCUGUACUUCGGGAUAAGCUUGGGAAACUGGGUCUAAUACCGGAUAGGACCACUUUUUGGAUAUUGUUGUGGAAAGCUUUUGCGGUAUGGGAUGAGGUCGCGGCGUAUCAGCUUGUUGGUGGGGUAAUGGCCUUCCAAGGCGUCGACGGGUAGCCGGCCUGUGAGGGUGUACGGGGACACUGGGGCUGAGAGACGGGCCAGACUCCUACGGGGGGGAGCAGUGGGGAAUAUUGUACAAUGGGGGCGAGCCUGAUGCAGCGACGCGGCGUGUGGGAUGAAGGCCUUCGGGUUGUAAACUCCUUUCGCGAGGGACGAAGCUUUUGUGUGACGGUACCUGGAGAAGAAGCACCGGCUAACUACGUG
rnacentral:rRNA from 1 species